CCGGAGCAACCAAGUUACUAAGUCAUUUUGAUGUUGCUUCAAUGUUUUUUUUUUUUUUCAGGGAUGCCUUUUAUUUGCUUAGAAAGCAUUUAAUGAGAUUCUCAUGAGGGGGAGAGCCCAUCUCCCCGAGUCACGAGUCACGUGCCCGUGACCCUGAAGGUGGGGCCCGGUGUUCACACUCGCGUCCACGGAAAGCACUGGAGCCAGCAAGGGUGCCCGUGUGCUUGUCACCGGAAGGGGCUCCUGAUACAAGUGCAGAAUCCGCAGGGUUGACUUCUGGUCAAUGAGAACAUUCUCACUGGGGCACCCCCUCCCCCGCCAACCCCCCAGGCCUCCCAUUAACCCCCUUCUAUUUGGGAAGCUGGGACCUCGGCGAGGGAGGUGGCCCUGCCUUCCCCUUGCCAGUGGCCAGAGAGUGGGGACUGUGCACGUUGGGGAGACAACGCCAUCCCCCGCAGGGUGACUCAGCACUUGGCCGAACAGCUGGUCCCCAUCUCCCGACCUACUGGGCCCGGGAAGUGAGACCCUGGAGGGGAGACGGGGCCACAGACGCAGGUGGGAGGCCGGCCUGGCCCCGGCCGCUUCCUCCGAGCUGGCCACCCAGGAAAGAGCCCUGGACGCCCGGGCGCUGCCAGGAGCACCAGCCUUGGGGUAACUCAAGUUAAUGAGCAAACUCCUCGGGGGAGGAAGCAGUCGGAUGCCACUUGCCCAACGAGGAGGGCGGCGGGUGUUGAGAGGCCAGGAGGCCUUGGGCCAUCGGCCGCCGGGGCCCCCGGGGUCGGGCGGGCCCUUGGAAGUGGGGGUUCCCUACUUAUCCCCUACUCCCUGCCCACACAGAAGGCCCCCCCCUUCCCGGCCCCAGAGCUCACAGCAGACAGAGAUCUGAGAGUGUGUCAUGCUUGUGCCGCGUGUGUGCACACGUGCGUGUGUGUCCUCGUGUAAGCAUGGUAUGUACGCGUGUCUCAGGCUCUCUGUCUCGGGGACUUGCAACCAGACAGCUGGAGAGGCAGCCUGGACACCAUGACAGGCC
rnacentral:lncRNA from 1 species